GGCGAGAUGGCCGAGCGGUCUAAGGCGCCAGACUAAGGUGACACACAAUCUGGUCCGAAAGGGCGGGGGUUCGAAUCCCCCUCUCGUCA